rnacentral:rRNA from 1 species
GGGUUGUGAGGUUAAGCGACUAAGCGUACACGGUGGAUGCCUAGGCAGUCAGAGGCGAUGAAGGGCGUGCUAAUCUGCGAAAAGCGUCGGCAAGGUGAUAUGAACCGUUAUACCCGACGAUACCCGAAUGGGGAAACCCAGUGUGAUUCGUCACACUAUCAUUAACUGAAUCCAUAGGUUAAUGAGGCGAACCGGGGGAACUGAAACAUCUCAGUACCCCGAGGAAAAGAAAUCAACCGAGAUUCCCCCAGUAGCGGCGAGCGAACGGGGAGGAGCCCAGAACCUGAAUCGGCUUGUGUGUCAGUGGAAGCGUCUGGAAAGGCGCACGAUACAGGGUGACAGUCCCGUACACGAAGAUGCACAGGUCGUGAGUUCGACGAGUAGGGCGGGACACGUGGUAUCCUGUCUGAACAUGGGGGGACCAUCCUCCAAGGCUAAAUACUCCUGACUGACCGAUAGUGAACCAGUACCGUGAGGGAAAGGCGAAAAGAACCCCGGCGAGGGGAGUGAAAUAGAACCUGAAACCGUGUACGUACAAGCAGUGGGAGCACCUUUUAGGUGUGACUGCGUACCUUUUGUAUAAUGGGUCAGCGACUUAUAUUCUGUAGCAAGGUUAACCGAAUAGGGGAGCCGCAGGGAAACCGAGUCUUAACUGGGCGUCUAGUUGCAGGGUAUAGACCCGAAACCCGGUGAUCUAGCCAUGGGCAGGUUGAAGGUUGGGUAACACUAACUGGAGGACCGAACCGACUAAUGUUGAAAAAUUAGCGGAUGACUUGUGGCUGGGGGUGAAAGGCCAAUCAAACCGGGAGAUAGCUGGUUCUCCCCGAAAGCUAUUUAGGUAGCGCCUCGUGAACUCAUCUUCGGGGGUAGAGCACUGUUUCGGCUAGGGGGCCAUCCCGGCUUACCAACCCGAUGCAAACUGCGAAUACCGAAGAAUGUUAUCACGGGAGACACACGGCGGGUGCUAACGUCCGUCGUGAAGAGGGAAACAACCCAGACCGCCAGCUAAGGUCCCAAAGUCAUGGUUAAGUGGGAAACGAUGUGGGAAGGCCCAGACAGCCAGGAUGUUGGCUUAGAAGCAGCCAUCAUUUAAAGAAAGCGUAAUAGCUCACUGGUCGAGUCGGCCUGCGCGGAAGAUGUAACGGGGCUAAAACCAUGCACCGAAGCUGCGGCAGCGACACUGUGUGUUGUUGGGUAGGGGAGCGUUCUGUAAGCCUGUGAAGGUGGCCUGUGAGGGCUGCUGGAGGUAUCAGAAGUGCGAAUGCUGACAUAAGUAACGAUAAUGCGGGUGAAAAACCCGCACGCCGGAAGACCAAGGGUUCCUGUCCAACGUUAAUCGGGGCAGGGUGAGUCGACCCCUAAGGCGAGGCUGAAAAGCGUAGUCGAUGGGAAACAGGUUAAUAUUCCUGUACUUGGUGUUACUGCGAAGGGGGGACGGAGAAGGCUAUGUCAUCCGGGCGACGGUUGUCCCGGUUUAAGCGUGCAGGUGGGUGGACCAGGUAAAUCCGGUCUGCUGUUAACACUGAGGCGUGAUGACGAGGCACUACGGUGCUGAAGUGACAGAUGCCCGGCUUCCAGGAAAAGCCUCUAAGCAUCAGGUAACAUUGAAUCGUACCCCAAACCGACACAGGUGGUCAGGUAGAGAAUACUCAGGCGCUUGAGAGAACUCGGGUGAAGGAACUAGGCAAAAUGGUGCCGUAACUUCGGGAGAAGGCACGCUCCUGUUGGUGAAGUCCCUUGCGGAUGGAGCUGAGGGGAGUCGCAGAUACCAGCUGGCUGCAACUGUUUAAUAAAAACACAGCACUGUGCAAACACGAAAGUGGACGUAUACGGUGUGACGCCUGCCCGGUGCCGGAAGGUUAAUUGAUGGGGUUAUCCGUAAGGAGAAGCUCUUGAUCGAAGCCCCGGUAAACGGCGGCCGUAACUAUAACGGUCCUAAGGUAGCGAAAUUCCUUGUCGGGUAAGUUCCGACCUGCACGAAUGGCGUAAUGAUGGCCAGGCUGUCUCCACCCGAGACUCAGUGAAAUUGAACUCGCUGUGAAGAUGCAGUGUACCCGCGGCAAGACGGAAAGACCCCGUGAACCUUUACUAUAGCUUGACACUGAACCUUGAGCCUUGAUGUGUAGGAUAGGUGGGAGGCUUUGAAGUGUGGACGCCAGUCUGCAUGGAGCCAACCUUGAAAUACCACCCUUUAAUGUUUGAUGUUCUAACCUGGGCCCGUAAUCCGGGCUGGGGACAGUGUCUGGUGGGUAGUUUGACUGGGGCGGUCUCCUCCCAAAGAGUAACGGAGGAGCACGAAGGUUAGCUAAUCCUGGUCGGACAUCAGGAGGUUAGUGCAAAGGCAUAAGCUAGCUUGACUGCGAGAGUGACGGCUCGAGCAGGUGCGAAAGCAGGUCUUAGUGAUCCGGUGGUUCUGAAUGGAAGGGCCAUCGCUCAACGGAUAAAAGGUACUCCGGGGAUAACAGGCUGAUACCGCCCAAGAGUUCAUAUCGACGGCGGUGUUUGGCACCUCGAUGUCGGCUCAUCACAUCCUGGGGCUGAAGUAGGUCCCAAGGGUAUGGCUGUUCGCCAUUUAAAGUGGUACGCGAGCUGGGUUUAGAACGUCGUGAGACAGUUCGGUCCCUAUCUGCCGUGGGCGUUGGAAGAUUGAGGGGGGUUGCUCCUAGUACGAGAGGACCGGAGUGAACGCACCGCUGGUGUUCGGGUUGUCAUGCCAAUGGCACUGCCCGGUAGCUACGUGCGGAAGAGAUAACCGCUGAAAGCAUCUAAGCGGGAAACUUGCCCCGAGAUGAGUCUUCCCUGGGAACUAGAUUCCCCUGAAGGGACGUUCGAGACGAGGACGUUGAUAGGCUGGGUGUGUAAGCGUAGCGAUACGUUGAGCUAACCAGUACUAAUGACCCGAGAGGCUUAACCUUACAACACCGAAGGUGUUU